GGAUGUGAGGGCGAUCUGGCUACGACAUCUGUCACCCCACUGAUCUCUAGGGUUGAUUCGGCUGAUCUGGCUGGCUAGGCGGGUGUCCCCUUCCUCCCUCACCACUCCAUGUGCAUCCCUCCCGAAGCUGCGCGCUUGGUUGAAGAGGAGACGGCCUUCCCCGAGUAGAGACGGACCGAUCUUCAGUCGAGGGUGUAUGAGUAGCUGCGCUCUCCUGCUAGAACCUCCAAACAGGCUCUCAAGAAAUAAAAGGAAUAAAAUAUUUGUUUAUUUGUUUUAAAGAUUUGUUUAUUUUUGAUAGAAAC
ensembl:misc_RNA 7SK 7SK RNA